AUUGAACGCUGGCGGCAGGCCUAACACAUGCAAGUCGAACGAGUGGCGGACGGGUGAAUUAUGUCUGGGAAACUGCCUGAUGGAGGGGGAUCACUACUGGAAACGGUAGCUAAUCCCGCAUACCAUCAGAUGUGCCCAGAGGGGAUUAGCUUGUGGGAGGGGUAACGGCUCACCAAGGCGAAGAUCCCUAGCUGGUCUGAGAGGAUGACCAGCCACACUGGAACUGAGACACGGGCCAGACUACUACGGGAGGCAGCAGUGGGGAAUAUUGCACAAUGGGCGCAAGCCUGAUGCAGCCAUGCCGCGUGUAUGAAGAAGGCCUUCGGGUUGUAAAGUACUUUCAGCGGGGAGGCGUUACCCGCAGAAGAAGCACCGGCUAACUCCGUGCCAGCAGCCGCGGUAAUAC
rnacentral:rRNA from 1 species